GGUGGUCAAUGUGUCGGCAGAGUGUCAGCAGCUGAUGUUUGUGAGACGACCUCCUGACCCGAAGCUUCUGCAGGAAGAUGACAGAAGAAAUGCCUGCAGGUGCUGGAGGUGAGCUCUGGCCUUCUUGGU